UUUCUCAAAUACACAAAAUGAAGUGACAAAAAAAUACAGAAAAAGAAGAAAACAACCCUAAUCCUCCAACAAUGGGUAAACGGAAUUGAAUUCGUCAGAAUGGGUGAACCAAAUUCGUCUCAACAACCGUAAUCCUCCGAAUUCGUCCCCGUCGAAGAACAAUCCGCUGUGGAAGAAGAAAACCCUUCCAUCAACCCUAAUCCGUGAAGAACAACCUCAAUCACUCCGCCGUUAUUAUCCAUCGUUCUCGUGGUUACAAGGGAUGGAUCGGAUGAUGGUGGUAAUUAUCUUUGCAUUUUUCUUUACCGAUGCUAUGAUAUCUAUUCCUAACCAGGUUUCGAUUUGUUCCGUAUUGCACGCUUUCAGGUUUCAGUUUGAUUCCUUUGCAUAUGUUAAAAGGCUAUAGUGGAAGCAGCUGAUACUGAAUUCAUCAUACUUGGCCAGCGAAUUUAUUAACUUACUUGGCCUUAAGGACUUUAUCUUGAGGAGAUCAUUAAGUGGUAACAGAAACAAUCAGUUGCAUUGGCUACUCAGCACACUACAAGUAAAUUGUAGCAACUGGCAUGGUUGGUAAUGACCUUCUCAAUUUGAGCAUGAGAAAAUGAGUUCUGAGACUGUAGCUGGCAUAUUUGGUUAAGGGAGUUCAAAGAAGCUACCAAGGUUGGUGUACUUUGGACCUUAAACACAGAGAGGUUGCUCGGUACAAGUCUGUUGUGCAGGUUGUUGGCACUGUGCAGGGACAUAAUAUAUCUGGAAAGGAUCAGCGUGUUCAUUGCUCCAUAAAUAUCAACACAGAGACUGGAAAGUCUGUUUGGCCAGUAGUUGUAUCUCCUUUCUGCACUAGUGUUUGUGGGAUAUUUUGGUGGAUUAUUUAUUAGUGGAUUAUAUUUUCAUGGAUGUAGACCUUUUUUGUUGACAUUAUAUAUGGUUAUAUGGUAUAAAUAGAAGGUCCAGUAAAAAACUAUUUAAUUUAU